rnacentral:tRNA from 1 species
GGAGAUGUAGCUCAGUGGUAAGAACACUUGUCUUGCAUGUGUGAGGUUCUGGGUUCAAUCCCCAGCACCA